GUUUGACUUUUGUUAACAGUUAAAACUGUUAACAGUUAAAAAAACUGUUGUUUUAAACACUUCCACUCCAAGCCUUCUCCUACCGGUUCUGACCUGGUUCUGAAACAGGACAGCACUCCAUCCAUAACAAUCAACUCUGUCCAUGAAAAGCAUGCUCUAAUACUAGUCCAACAGCCUCUCAGAAGCAUGACAGGGACAGAUCAGAAACAGUCAGAACAUAACCAGUGGCACAGUCUGCAUUUUGUUUAAAAGGCCUUGAAAAGCUAUUCCUGAACAGCCCAGCUCUGAAAGAAGCAGUCUCACUGAAGAAAGUGAAGAAAUCCCGGUAGCAGUGGGAUGCGAUGACUCAGUUCCUGCUACAAAUGGCCUGACCACACAAAUGGGCUGGGAACAGCUGUACUGCAGUUUUGCUGCAGCUCCAAACCAGCUUCUUCAGGGCCAAAAGAGAGUGAGAACAAAAGCACUUCAAGCAAUGAUUUACCUUGCCAGUUACCUUCAGCUCCAGGGCUUGUCCAAGAUAGGACGUAGGAAGGGGAGAAAAAUAAUAAAAAAAUAAAAACAAUGCCCUUUCCUA